ensembl:lincRNA
AUAUAUUGUUAUUGCAUAGAAUAUAUUGUUAUAAUAUAUUGCAUAUAUUGGAGGUGUGUAAUUAUUGGUGCAUUAUCAAAAUGUAAAAUUGUGGGCGGAGUCAUGUAAUAAUUGUUACAAAUGGUGGUGGGGGUGUACAAGAAAUGGAUAAAAAGUUAGUAAAUGACUCUGCUGAGUACUCAAUUUAAGUAAAUUAAAUGAUCAUAACCCCCAACUUGUAAAUUAUUUUGCCAAACAUAUAUCUGAGCUGUUAGCAUAGUAGGAGACACAUGAGUUCUUUUUUCUCUAGCACAGACAUAAGCUUUACCAAAAAUGAGGCAAGAAGAUUUAUUAUAGGUUUUUUUGGUCAUUUCAGGUUUCGCCAGCACUACAAGAAGUUCAUUGACUGUGACCCUUGCUGGAUUUCUGCUGCACAUGAUGCUUUCACGCCUCUGAACUCACCGGGCUCUUGGCUACUACCGUUUUUAUUUGACAUACUGUACACUUGCAGAAGAAACAAUCACGAUUUCAACGGUUUCUUAAAACCUUUUUAACAGUCAAUUGAUGCGGCUCCUAGGAAUGUGCAUGGGUGUCACUCAGAUGGGCCUUUUAAAUCGGAGCAAAUUUUAAGGCCUGAAAUGAGAGAACUGUAAUUUCAAGAAGGCAGUUCGUAUUAAAGAUCCCAUGCAGAUAGAUGCCCACGAGGACAGAGGUCGUCUUUUAAACAAGAGGUGAAACAAAUGUCAAGGGGCAAAUUGUAAACCUAGCAAGAGAUGCCUGAAGUGAAGCAGUGAAGUAGCUUCAAAUACACAAUAGAGGAAGCUCCACCCUUGGAUUUUUAUGUUUUAAUUUAACAUUAAAUUAUUCAAUUCUAUGUCUCUGGGUGCAGAAUGCCAGGGAUACUGUAAGCCUCAUUUCUACCUGUGAGCCUUUUUUUAAAGUCUUUCUUUGGAACCACAACUGCCAAAAUCACAGGAAGAGGACUCCUCAUUCCCUCAAGGGAGAGGCCCAGCUGGGCCUGUGGACUCAAGGGGCUUCCGCCUCCUUUCCGCUCUGGAGGAGAGGGACUCAUUUCGACCAGGCAUCCCGAACCUGAGGUGUGUUCGGAUGCAUCUGGGUUAAUGAAUUUAAUGAAUAAGCAAUCACUGGGCCAAUAUCAUUUCAGUCCUCCACAGAGCUGUGCCCACAGGCUGCCAGUGGGCCAUGGGUCUGCAGUUUGGGUGGGGACUUCCUCGACAGGGAGUCUGGGAUACUACUGUAAACAACCCGGAAAAGGCGGAUGAGGUGACUGAACUGGAGGGGGUGUUUUAACUUGGACACCAAACCAUGGUUGCUGGCUUGUUGUUACGAGAGGAGAGAAGAAAACAGAGAGGCUUGUAAGUGUGGUUCAAAAUAUGUGAAGCAAUCAUUGCUGUCUGAACCAACAUGGAUUUGUGCAACAAGGCAGGGGGACAGAAAGGGACAAGACAUUGUGCUGAGAUGGUUUGGGAAGCAUCAAGAGGAGCCAGAUAAAUGAUUCGUAAAAGAUGUGGCAUUUCUGUUCCCACAGCAACUACCCUAAAGUAUUGAUUUACACUACCUGUCAGUAGAAGCUAUAAUUUAAUUAAACACACAUUGUGAAAACCGCUGUGUUCAGAUUACCUAUUUUACGGGAGUGGUCUAUACAGUACAAUAGUUUGUACAGGUCUGAACAGAAAGGCUGAGACAUGAAGCCCUCUCCAACCACAGAGCUGGGAAAGCAUGGCCAGGCACACUGGCAGUCCUGGCAGUACGGUCCAACUCAACGGGCGGAGGUUUCCAACACUGUCCCACGUUCUUCUAGCUCUGAGCAGCGGCACCUCUCUGCUUGAGAGACACAACCCGCACUAAAAGUCUGCUGACCGGUAGUGCAGUGCUGAGUGCAAGUGAGUCCCAAGUGCCAUGGUGACAGGAAGGACCUGACCAUGACACAGAACACGAUAAGGACACCACGGCCGACAUUCCUCCCCCAGGGGGCGCCCCACUACUCCUGUCAUUAGUUCCGGGAUUGUUGCCGUGUUCCCCAGGUGUGGCCUGUUGUCUACCGCUAUUUAAAGCCUAGAUCCUCCAGUCCUCGGGGCUCCACAUUAGGGUACGGGGCCCGCCUAGCACCAGGAUACCCUACGUCCGUCUCCUGAGGGCAUAGGCCUCAUCCCUGACACCUCCCGGGGUCUGGAGGACCUCGCCCCGUUAUCCCAGAAUCUCCAUGUCGGUUGUCUGUUCGUGUUUUCCCCAGUCCCAGGGAUUUUAACCCUAGUCACGUCUCGGGAUGGAUCUCUUGUUAACAGACUCUUGGACUGGGCCCUGACCUGCCUUUGGACCUGCUCUGAUUUGGAUGCCAUCCUCUGUCUCCCCGGACUGUCACUAUUCUUUUGUGCACCAUUAAACUCCUUUGUGUUUUCCCAUACCACACCUCCUGUUUCCUCCAGUGCUACUACAAAACAGUUGUCCGUAACAAUAACCAGUGUCACAGGCAGCGCUUUUGCAUGUCAGCUGAUUUCUUUUUUUUUUUUUUAAUAAAGGUGCGUGCCGGCCGUACCAAAUUAAAAUCCCCCCAGAAUGCCCCUCAGUGGGGCAGAGCUGCUGCGAUGCUGCAGCCUCCGUUUCCGGAUGGAGAGCCGGUUCGUGUGAGGAAGAAAUGGCACUUCCUCUUAAUUUAUAGCUUUCACUGCAUGGGCGGGUUUCAGUUCACUGCUGUUUAAAUGCACCGCGCCACAGGUACGGCGGAAAGACGUUCACAUUUCCUCUCCACGUGCCUGUUGGUGGCCUCACUAUUCUCAGGUCUACAGUGUUUUUUACGUAUCUCAGUAUAGCUCUCGACAAACUCUAAAUUUCCAAUAGAAUCACAGACAUGCCAUGUAGCCACUACCAGGGUUGAGGAUUUGGGUGUUGUCUCUCUUAUGGAGGUUUAUCUUCAUGAAUUUAGGUGGCGUUUCUAGUUUAUAACCUUCAGCUGUUAACAGUUCAAAAGAAAAAUGGAGGACUGAGUCACACACUUCCACACCAGUAUGAGUACUGCCAUUUGUGUGCCAUGAUUUCACCUUGCUUUGUUGAUGAUUUACUCUGUUACUCUUACUCCUUUGAAGACUCUCUUCUCUUUCUGUGACUGUUUUCAGUAGUGUGGAAAAAUUUACUCCAGUGUACAAACUUAUUUGUAAGCUCUGUAACAGCCCUAUCUGUGUUACAGAUAGUAACAUUCUCUGUGUGUUUCACAGAUUGCGUGGAAGGACCUGAGUCUUUCUAGUUUAAGCCCAUUAGGAGAGUUAUUAAGGCACAAGAACAGCUCUUUGACUGUCUCAUGUUUUCUUGUGUGCUGUACGAAUAUGUAUGGUGGAAUAACUGUUUGGGAGGGUGAUAACCACUUGUUUCCUGUUGUUCAUGAGCUCUGUAAACGCUGUGUCUGAAACCACAGAUCUUCAAAUUUUGUAUAUUUUUUUUAUGCGGCCAAUGCAAUGCUGAUAAUGUCCAGUAUGGUGUUGUGAAUCAGAUAUGAAGGGCUCUAUUGGUCAGUGAGACGUGUGUCUGUUCUUGUCUUAGGACAUGCAUUAAGAUCACCCGUGGCAUACAGAGGAAGAAAAACGUGGUUUUCAGUUUUUAAAUAUUUGAGUUAAAGCUGUAUACUUCUAUUUCAGCACACUGCAAAAAUUGGGUUGUAGUCGUAUGCUAUAAAAAAAACUGGAUACUCCGAACGGUUCCUUCUAUAGUGGUAUUUGUUUGCUCAAAGUGAAACUGUUCAUCCCUAGGGGGAAAUAUCUGAGUGCCCAAAGGUUAGAUGAGACCAGCAGCAAGGUUACAUCACUACACAUUACAUUUAUUUACAGUAAACAGUUCUGAGAAGCAAACAGUUCUGAGAAGAGCUGCCAGACAUAUUCCUGGGUUAAGGGAAUGUCCUACACUGACAGGCUGAAGGACCUGAUCCUUUUUAACCUUGAACCAAUCUUGAACCAAAACGACUAUUAAGUUCUAGACCCAGAGUUUCCAGCCUUCCCUAAUCAAUUCUAUACGAGAGUAAUUUUACUGUGAUCAGAUGAGCAGAUUUAUUAAAUUAAUUUAACAUUCUGAAGCCUUCAAAGACCAGAGCUGUCCGUUUAAAACAAGUUUCUUAACUGAACAACACUUACAGGUCUAACUGGGCAAAUGGGUAACUUGUAAAAGUGGGGCUCUCCAGCACCCAGGGUGGAGACCCCUGUUCUAGACGUGAAAAAAGCGCCAAAAACUUACACCAUUGAAUCGUUGUGUCAAUUCAUGACCGAAUGAAUUUGGUCAUGGUCAAUAAAGUCAUCCCAAUAGAAACACACAGAGAUCAUUGUCCCACAGAGCAGCCUGAAUUAUCACUGAGGUACAGUAUAUCAUUAGUAUCCUCAUGGUAGCUUGGGAGAGCUCAGCGGGGUGUUAAAACCAAAAGA